AGAGUUUGAUCCUGGCUCAGGAUGAACGCUAGCUACAGGCUUAACACAUGCAAGUCGAGGGGAAACGACAUUGAAGCUUGCUUCGAUGGGCGUCGACCGGCGCACGGGUGAGUAACGCGUAUCCAACCUGCCUCUGACUAAGGGAUAACCCGGCGAAAGUCGGACUAAUACCUUAUGAGGUUUUCUGCAGACAUCUAAUGAAAACGAAAGAUUUAUCGGUCAGUGAUGGGGAUGCGUCUGAUUAGCUUGUUGGCGGGGUAACGGCCCACCAAGGCAACGAUCAGUAGGGGUUCUGAGAGGAAGGUCCCCCACAUUGGAACUGAGACACGGUCCAAACUCCUACGGGAGGCAGCAGUGAGGAAUAUUGGUCAAUGGGCGAGAGCCUGAACCAGCCAAGUAGCGUGCAGGAUGACGGCCCUAUGGGUUGUAAACUGCUUUUGUAUGGGGAUAAAGUUAGGGACGUGUCCCUAUUUGCAGGUACCAUACGAAUAAGGACCGGCUAAUUCCGUGCCAGCAGCCGCGGUAAUACGGAAGGUCCGGGCGUUAUCCGGAAUUAUUGGGUUUAAAGGGAGCGCAGGCGGGAGUGUAAGUCAGCUGUUAAAUAUCAGGGCCCAACUCUGUUAUGCAGUUGAAACUAUAUUUCUUGAGUACGCACAGGGAUGGCGGAAUUCAGGGUGUAGCGGUGAAAUGCUUAGAUAUCCUGAAGAACUCCGAUCGCGAAGGCAGCCAUCCGGAGCGUAACUGACGCUGAGGCUCGAAGGUGCGGGUAUCAAACAGGAUUAGAUACCCUGGUAGUCCGCACGGUAAACGAUGAAUACUCGCAGUUCGGUUAUUAUGGUCGAGCUGUCCAGCGAAAGCGUUAAGUAUUCCACCUGGGGAGUACGCCGGCAACGGUGAAACUCAAAGGAAUUGACGGGGGCCCG
rnacentral:rRNA from 1 species